rnacentral:tRNA from 1 species
CAGAUAAUAGUUUAAAUAAAAUAUAAGUCUUGGGUAUUUAUGUUCGAGAAAAAUUCUCGUUAUCUGA